rnacentral:tRNA from 1 species
GGGGGUGCUGCUGGUGCAGAACCCGAUCCACGAAAUUGGGUUUGUGGGUUCAAUUCCCAUCACCUCCA